rnacentral:ncRNA from 1 species
UAAGACAACUCAUAUAGGCCCCGGAUAUGGUGGGGUGUUUCUACCGGAAGCCGUGAAUUUCCGACUAUGGGUGAGAUUGAUAUA